GUAGCAGGAAGUGCUUGCACUUUGCUGACGAGUGGCGGACGGGUGAGUAAUACUUAGGAACAUGCCUUUGUGUGGGGGAUAACCAUUGGAAACGAUGGCUAAUACCGCAUAAUGUCUUUGGACCAAAGAGGGCUUUCGGGCUCUCGCGCAAAGAGUGGCCUAAGUGAGAUUAGCUUGUUGGUGAGGUAAAGGCUCACCAAGGCGACGAUCUCUAGCUGUUCUGAGAGGAAGAUCAGCCACACUGGGACUGAGACACGGCCCAGACUCCUACGGGAGGCAGCAGUGGGGAAUAUUGCACAAUGGGGGCAACCCUGAUGCAGCCAUGCCGCGUGUGUGAAGAAGGCCUUCGGGUUGUAAAGCACUUUCAGUUGUGAGGAAAGGUUGAUGGUUAAUACCCAUCAGCUGUGACGUUAGCAACAGAAGAAGCACCGGCUAACUCCGUGCCAGCAGCCGCGGUAAUACGGAGGGUGCGAGCGUUAAUCGGAAUUACUGGGCGUAAAGCGCACGCAGGCGGUUAUAUAAGCUAGAUGUGAAAGCCCCGGGCUCAACCUGGGAAUAGCAUUUAGAACUGUAUGACUAGAGUCUUGGAGAGGGGGGUGGAAUUCCAGGUGUAGCGG
rnacentral:rRNA from 1 species